rnacentral:rRNA from 1 species
UACAGAGGUCUCAAGCGUUAAUCGGAAUUACUGGGCUUAAAGGGUCCGCAGGCGGUCUGACAAGUAUCUUGUGAAAUCCCAUGGCUCAACCGUGGAACCGCUCGAUAGACUGUCAGACUUGAGUGCAAAAGGGGUCGCUGGAACUCUAGGUGGAGCGGUGAAAUGCGUAGAUAUCUAGAGGAACGCCAAAGGUGAAGACAGGCGACUGGUUUGCAACUGACGCUCAUGGACGAAAGCGUGGGGAUCAAACGGG